rnacentral:ncRNA from 1 species
CUGUUACUUAAUAUACACAUGCGAGUCUCCGCACCCCCGUGAAAACGCCCUUACCCCAUAUAAUGGAUUAGGAGCCGGUAUCAGGCGCAAAAAUUAGCCCAAGACACCUAGCCCCGCCACACCCACACGGGCCCUCAGCAGUGAUUAACAUUGAAAAUAAGCGCCAGCUUGAAUCAGUUAAAGUAAAAAGAGCCGGCAAAUCUAGUGCCAGCCGCCGCGGUUAUACCAUGUGGCUCAAGCUGACUUCCUCCGGCGUAAAGCGUGAUUAAAGUGAUCUACCCCAGCAAUCAAAUUAAAAUUAAGCUGUGACACGCUUAUUCUUAAGAAGACCACAAACGAAAGUCAUUGCAACCAACUUGAACUCACGACAGUUAGGAAACAAACUGGGAUUAGAUACCCCACUAUGCCUAACCGUAAACUUUUAAUUACCCCCCCCCCCAUCGCCUGGGAACUACGAGCAAAGCUUAAAACCCAAGGGACUUGACGGUACCCAACAUCCACCUAGAGGAGCCUGUCCUAUAAUCGAUAACCCCCGCUUUACCUCACCAUUUUUAGCCUACCAGCCUGUAUACCUCCGUCGUCAGCUUACCCCGUGAGCGUAAACUAGUGAGCUUAAUGCCCCAACGCCAACACGUCAGGUCAAGGUGCAGCACAUAAAAUGGGAAGAGAUGGGCUACACUAUCUAAAAUAGAUAAUACGAAAGACUAUAUAUGAAAACCAGUCAGAAGGAGGAUUUAGUAGUAAGAGGGGACUAAAGUGCCCCCCUUAACCUGGCACUGGGGUGUGUACACACCGCCCGUCACCCUCUUCAAAGCACCAAUUAAGUUAAUUACAUAACUACGCACACUAGAAGAGGCAAGUCGUAACAUGGUAAGUAUACCGGAAGGUGUGCUUGGUUA